rnacentral:rRNA from 1 species
AUUGAACGCUGGCGGCAUGCUUUACACAUGCAAGUCGGACGAGUGGCGAACGGGUGAGUAACGCAUCGGAACGUGCCGAGUAACGGGGGAUAACUGUCCGAAAGGAGAGCUAAUACCGCAUAUUAUUCGAGCGGCCGAUGUGUGUUUAGCUGGUUGGUGGGGUAAAGGCGCACCAAGGCGACGAUCAGUAGCCGGUCUGAGAGGAUGAACCGCCACACUGGAACUGAGACACGGCCCAGACUCCUACGGGAGGCAGCAGUGGGGAAUUUUGGACAAUGGGCGCAAGCCUGAUCCAGCCAUGCCGCGUGUCUGAAGAAGGCCUUCGGUUUGUAAAGUACUUUUGUCAGGGAAGCGGUACCUACAGAAUAAGCACCGGCUAACUACGUGCCAGCAGCCGCGGUAAUAC